rnacentral:rRNA from 1 species
CUACGUAGGGAGCGAGCGUUGUCCGGAUUUACUGGGCGUAAAGGGCGCGUAGGCGGGUAAAUAAGUCAGAUGUGAAAACUAUGGGCUCAACCCAUAGCCUGCAUUUGAAACUGUAUAUCUUGAGGGCAGGAGAGGAAAGUGGAAUUCCUAGUGUAGCGGUGAAAUGCGUAGAUAUUAGGAGGAACACCAGUGGCGAAGGCGACUUUCUGGACUGAACCUGACGCUGAAGCGCGAAAGCAUGGGGAGCAAACAGGAUUAGAUACCCUGGUAGUCCAUGCCGUAAACGAUGAAUACUAGGUGUAGGGGGUAUCGACCCCCUCUGUGCCGCAGUUAACACAAUAAGUAUUCCGCCUGGGGAGUACGGCCGCAAGGUUGAAACUCAAAGGAAUUGACGGGG